AAAUGCAAUGAUCAACUAUGUGGAGGAGAUAUGUGAGAAAUGCCUUAGCAGAUGAUGAAGAAAGAGAUCAAAAGGCUCCGAGAAGCAGGAAUGCUACGGUGGAUAUGCAGUCAGCUCUCUGUAUCUGUGGGUUCAUUCAACCUCGGACUGAAAAUAUUCAGCAUUUGGGAAAAAAGUGGCAUCCCAUACUCAACAUGAUGUGAAUUGUCCCUUUGUCCAGUGGAUACACACUGUCAACACUUCCCUCCAGUUAGCCACUUCACCAUCUCGGUGAUCAGAUGGACUGUCGAGGUAUCGCAGUGCUUGUGUUCAAGGCACCCUCAUUUUACCUAAUAAUGGCCCCAAAGCACAAGAGUGGUGAUGCUGGUGAUUCAAAUAUGCCAAAGGGAAGCCGUAAAGUGCUUCCUUUAAGUGAAAAGAACCAGGGGUCCUGAUAAUUGACAGUGGAUCUCCAUGAAGUCAAGUAAUUACUUAAUAUAUCUAUUACCACUACCAAAUGUCCAACCUGCCAGCAACAGAAACCAACACUGAGCUCUUCAACAAACACAGUCCCCAGAGGAGACUAACCAGCCACUUGCUAGCAACUUGAUCACAUCAGAUUCCUUUCAAUCUGGAAAUGGCAGUAAUUGAUUUUGACUGGAAUUGACACAUAUUCCAGAGAUGGCUUUACCUUUCCUACCCACAGGGACUCAGGCAGCAUGACCACCUGUAAGCUUAUAGAUUAUAUGAUAAACUGACAUGGAAUCCUGCAUAACGUGACUGUGGACCACUGGCCCCAUUUUAUAGCAAAAGAAGGACAACAAUGGACAUAUGAUGAUAGGAUAACACCAUCCAGAAACUGCCUAUCUACUAGAGGUUUUUGACAGCACAGCUAAAGUGCCAGCCUGCAGGUGAUACUGUGUCCGGAAUUGGUGGGUUCUUGGUCUCACUGACUUCAAGAAUGAAGCCGCGGACCCUCACAGUCUUCAGGUAGCUGGGUAAGAAGCGGCAAGGCAAACAAAGGGUCCUGGUAAUUGAAAACAACUGAUGAGUCAAACCUAAGCAUUCGGCAUUGGGAGCACUGUCACUAAAACUGCAGCCUCAUUCAACAACACAUCCUUAUCGAGCACUUGCAGGUACUCCAUUGAAUGUUAGAAAUGCAUUGAUGAUGGAGACACAGCACCGGCUCAUGAGGACCUUCCAGCCUAGGCAGCAGGACUGGACAUACGCACUUUGGUAGAUUUAUUUUUAGAAAUUGGCUUAUGCAAGUGUGGGGCUGGCAAGUCUAACAACUGCAGGGCAGGUCAGGAGGCUGGAGACCCAGGGAAGAGUUGAUGCUGCAGUCUCUAGUCUGAAGGCAGUGCAGAGGCAGAAUUCCCUCUUUCUCGGAGGAUCUCAGGCUUUUUCUCCUAAGUCCUUCAACCAAGUGGAUGAGGCCACCCGCAUUAGAGAAGGGAAAGCUAGCUGAUAUGUUAUGAGGACAUUUGAGCAGCCCCAUGGAGAAGUCCACGUGGAAGGAACUGAGGCCUCUUGCUACCGUUAUGUGAGUGAGCCAUCUUGGAAGCAGAUCCUCCAGCCUGGUUGAUCCUUUGGAUGACUGCAGCCCCAGGUGCCAUCUUGACUACAACAUCAGGAAAGAUUCCAAAUUAGACUCCCCCAUCCCAGGCCUGGCCCAGAGAAAGAGAUGAAAGCUGACACGCAGCUCUCAGAAUCACCCUUGCUAUCAGGUUUGGCUUCUGGAGCUGAUGGGAAUCUGAGAGACGUCAGGGUAGAAGCCGCCUGUCUUGGUGAGCUUCCCGUGCUCAUCUGGCUUUGGGAAAGACUCUCAGCCUCAUUUGCUUAUCCUCCAUCACGGACCAAGCACUUGGUUUGGGAAUAAGGGGCCCUUGGCACUUACUGUUGUGUUCUUGGCCUUUGGGGCCUUGGCCAAGAGUCAGGUGGAAAGAGUUCCACCCUAACAUCUUCUCCUAUGCUUCCUCCCAGAGCAGGGGAUGGGAAAGUAUGGGGAGAAAAAGGCUCCUUAGGGAAUUACUUCAUGUUAAAAAAUAUUUACUAGGCACUUAACACGUACGCAGAAAUUUACCAGUGGCUGAAGUGGGUAAUAGGGAUGUAUCAAUUAACUAAUAAACUAAUUAAUUAGA
ensembl:lncRNA LINC02150 long intergenic non-protein coding RNA 2150